UAGUGGGACAAGUCCAUCUUUUGAUUCUGUGGAAACAUGGGAAGGAAAUCAGACAGACUUUAUUGCAUUACUUUUGAUGCAUUUCAUUCUCAGGCUGUUAGAACACAACUGGCACCAUACUGCUUUCUCUUGCAAACGGCAGCUUAGAAAAGGGUUUUAGACAGAGUCCUGAACACCUGUUUCUUGGACAUGGGGGUUUUCUACCACAGGAAUCAGAUCAGGGGCUCCAGGAUCAUUUUGAUGAAGAAGUCAUCUUUUGAAUGAUUGGAAUUAAGACGUUUCUCACAGAGUCUCCUGCUGCUCAAGCAGUCAUUGCUUCUGUAAGGAGAGGGUGCCCUGCAGUGCUGGUAUCAAACUUUCCUGCUUCCCACGGUGCAUCCAGAGGUCAGCUGCAAUGAGAAUACAGAUGUCUGCUUGACAGAAUAAAAGGGAAACUGCAAUCUUAUAAAUCAUCACGGAAGAGAGAGAAUAAGUGAUUGUCUGGGAUUGACUCUUGGGCAGAGCUUUGGAGAACUUCCUAUCUUUCAGAAUAAUUAUUCUGCUCACAAAGCAGCACCGGCUCGGAGACAAAGCUGAGACUUCUAACACUUGACUACAGUAGUCUUCCAAGCCAACUGAAAGUAAAGUUCUGCAUCAAAUGCUAAUUCAGAAAGGAGGAAUAUGAGGUACAGAUGAAACUGAAUUAGUUGUU